rnacentral:rRNA from 1 species
GACGAACGCUGGCGGCGUGCUUAACACAUGCAAGUCGAACGGAAAGGCCCUGCUUUUGUGGGGUGCUCGAGUGGCGAACGGGUGAGUAACACGCGAGUAACCUGCCCUUGACUUUGGGAUAACUUCAGGAAACUGGGGCUAAUACCGGAUAGGAGCUCCUGCUGCAUGGUGGGGGUUGGAAAGUUUCGGCGGUUGGGGAUGGACUCGCGGCUUAUCAGCUUGUUGGUGGGGUAGUGGCUUACCAAGGCUUUGACGGGUAGCCGGCCUGAGAGGGUGACCGGCCACAUUGGGACUGAGAUACGGCCCAGACUCCUACGGGGGGGCAGCAGUGGGGAAUAUUGCACAAUGGGCGGAAGCCUGAUGCAGCAACGCCGCGUGCGGGAUGACGGCCUUCGGGUUGUAAACCGCUUUCGCCUGUGACGAAGCGUGAGUGACGGUAAUGGGUAAAGAAGCACCGGCUAACUACGUGCCAGCAGCCGCGGUGAUACGUAGGGUGCGAGCGUUGUCCGGAUUUAUUGGGCGUAAAGGGCUCGUAGGUGGUUGAUCGCGUCGGAAGUGUAAUCUUGGGGCUUAACCCUGAGCGUGCUUUCGAUACGGGUUGACUUGAGGAAGGUAGGGGAGAAUGGAAUUCCUGGUGGAGCGGUGGAAUGCGCAGAUAUCAGGAGGAACACCAGUGGCGAAGGCGGUUCUCUGGGCCUUUCCUGACGCUGAGGAGCGAAAGCGUGGGGAGCGAACAGGCUUAGAUACCCUGGUAGUCCACGCUGUAAACGGUGGGUACUAGGUGUGGGGUCCAUUCCACGGGUUCCGUGCCGUAGCUAACGCUUUAAGUACCCCGCCUGGGGAGUACGGCCGCAAGGCUAAAACUCAAAGGAAUUGACGGGGCCCCGCACAAGCGGCGGAGCAUGCGGAUUAAUUCGAUGCAACGCGUAGAACCUUACCUGGGUUUGACAUGGAUCGGGAGCGCUCAGAGAUGGGUGUGCCUCUUUUGGGGUCGGUUCACAGGUGGUGCAUGGCUGUCGUCAGCUCGUGUCGUGAGAUGUUGGGUUAAGUCCCGCAACGAGCGCAACCCUUGUUCACUGUUGCCAGCACGUUAUGGUGGGGACUCAGUGGAGACCGCCGGGGUCAACUCGGAGGAAGGUGGGGAUGACGUCAAGUCAUCAUGCCCCUUAUGUCCAGGGCUUCACGCAUGCUACAAUGGCUGGUACAGAGAGUGGCGAGCCUGUGAGGGUGAGCGAAUCUCGGAAAGCCGGUCUCAGUUCGGAUUGGGGUCUGCAACUCGACCUCAUGAAGUCGGAGUCGCUAGUAAUCGCAGAUCAGCAACGCUGCGGUGAAUACGUUCCCGGG